CCUACGGGUGGCUGCAGUGGGGAAUAUUGGACAAUGGGGGGAACCCUGAUCCAGCCAUGCCGCGUGUGUGAAGAAGGCCCUCGGGUUGUAAAGCACUUUCAGUGAGGAAGAACGCCUGGUGGUUAAUACCCAUCAGGAAAGACAUCACUCACAGAAGAAGCACCGGCUAACUCCGUGCCAGCAGCCGCGGUAAUACGGAGGGUGCGAGCGUUAAUCGGAAUUACUGGGCGGAAAGCGCGCGUAGGUGGCUUGAUAAGCCGGUUGUGAAAGCCCCGGGCUCAACCUGGGAACGGCAUCCGGAACUGUCAAGCUAGAGUGCAGGAGAGGAAGGUAGAAUUCCCGGUGUAGCGGUGAAAUGCGUAGAGAUCGGGAGGAAUACCAGUGGCGAAGGCGGCCUUCUGGACUGACACUGACACUGAGGUGCGAAAGCGUGGGUAGCAAACAGGAUUAGAUACCCUUGUAGUC
rnacentral:rRNA from 1 species